UACGUAGGGGGCAAGCGUUGUCCGGAAUCAUUGGGCGUAAAGCGCGUGUAGGCGGUUCGGUAAGUCUGCUGUGAAAGUCCAGGGCUCAACCCUGGGAUGCCGGUGGAUACUGUCGGACUAGAGUACGGAAGAGGCGAGUGGAAUUCCCGGUGUAGCGGUGAAAUGCGCAGAUAUCGGGAGGAACACCAAUUGCGAAGGCAGCUCGCUGGGACGUUACUGACGCUGAGGAGCGAAAGCGUGGGGAGCGAACAGG
rnacentral:rRNA from 1 species